UGCAAUCGAUAAAUCGGUAGCAAGGUA
rnacentral:sRNA from 1 species